AUUGAACGCUGGCGGCAGGCCUAACACAUGCAAGUCGAGCGAGCGGCGGACGGGUGAGUAAUGUAUGGGGAUCUGCCCGAUAGAGGGGGAUAACUACUGGAAACGGUGGCUAAUACCGCAUACUAUCGGAUGAACCCACAUGGGAUUAGCGUGUAGGUGGGGUAAAGGCUCACCUAGGCGACGAUCCCUAGCUGGUAUGAGAGGAAGAACAGCCACACUGGGACUGAGACACGGCCCAGACUCCUACGGGAGGCAGCAGUGGGGAAGAUUGCACAAUGGGCGCAAUCCUGAUGCAGCCAUGCCGCGUGUAUGAAGAAGGCCUGAGGGUUGUAAAGUACUUUCAUCGUGGAGGCGUUACCCGCAGAAGAAGCACCGGCUAACUCCGUGCCAGCAGCCGCGGUAAUUC
rnacentral:rRNA from 1 species